rnacentral:ncRNA from 12 species
AAUUAUCGAGGAUAGAACAGGCAGCUAUCACUCCUACUUAUGUAGGUCUUAAAAGAGAUGUGGACGUGCCAAUCCACCGAUAAUA